rnacentral:rRNA from 1 species
UACGUAGGGGGCAAGCGUUGUCCGGAUUUAUUGGGCGUAAAGAGCGUGUAGGCGGCUAGAUAGGUCCGUUGUGAAAACUCGAGGCUCAACCUCGAGACGUCGAUGGAAACCAUCUGGCUAGAGUCCGGAAGAGGAGAGUGGAAUUCCUGGUGUAGCGGUGAAAUUCGUAGAUAUCGGGAGGAACACCGGUGGCGAAGGCGGCGACCUGGGUAGAUACUGACGCUGAGGUGCGAAAGCGUGGGGAGCAAACAGG